CACCUUGGUUUGAGCAUGCUUCGGUCAACACUUACUUAUUUAGUGUUGGCCUGCCUAGCUUUCUUUCUUCAUUUACUCAACCGCCUAGAGUUCGUAUUGCUUUUCCUUAUGCAUGAGAAAAACAAUGACUGGCAGUGAGAAGAUAACCUAGCCCAAAAUCAAAAUCACGAUGUUGAGGAGGACGGUCAUAUAAAUCAAUCAAACAAUAGGAAUAAAUCAAUAAAUAGGAGGAGACUUUGGCAUGCGGCACAUGGCUCUUGGGCAUGAAUAUGUACAGCCACGGAACAGACAAAAGAUAAAUAUUAAUUCAUUCGUGAAGUAACACACAGUAAUCCAUGAAAGAGGACAUCUUGUUUCUUUAAGGAAUCUUGAAAAACAUAAUGCCCCAGGAACUUUACAGAUGAUACUGUGUCAACUGACUUUAUGUCAAUUUCUCAAC